GUGCUUAUAGGUUGCAAAGAUAACUGGAGAAGAGUGGAAGAACCUGUCAGACAAAAAGAAGGCACCCUAUGAAGAGGUGGCAAAGAAGAACAAGGAGACAUACUUGCAAGAAAUGGAGGUAUACAAGAGGACAAAGGAAGAAGAAGCACUGAGCCAGAGGAAAGAAGAAGAGGAACUCCUGAAACUCCACAAACAAGAAGCUCUUCAACUGCUUAAGAAGAAGGAGAAAACUGAUAAUCUGAUUAAGAAGGAGAAAGCAACCAAGAAGAAGAAGAAUGAAAAUGUUGAUCCUAACAAACCCAAGAAGCCUGCUUCUUCUUACUUUCUCUUCAGGUAU